UACUCAGGAUGAAGAAUAAGUAAUUCCUCACCCGGGUCGAUCGACCGAGCAAUGGUCUAGUUUAACUAACGUCAGCAAUGUAAUUUUACGUCGAUGGAAAACGGGUCGUCCACUACCCUUGAUGGCAAAGGAAAAAAAACUAGCCCACUCCCCCGGUCCGUUUCUCUCUCCCUCCGGCUGCUCGCAUCUCGCCAUUGCGGUUCCCCUCAAAAAAUAAAAAAUCUCGUCAAUGCGGAGGCAGCGGCAGCGAGCCAGCGACGGCGCCGGAGGGAUGACCCAACGGCGAGGACUACCUCUUUCGCGUGUGGAGUAUUACCCUUUUUCCUCUCUCGUGCGGCAACGACUCGGAGGCACCGUGGGGGAUGCAAGAUCUGGGCGAAGCUCGGCAGUGACAGCGAUCUUCUCCGGCGUCCCUCUCCACUGUCGGCGUGCAGGGGAAGAGGAAGCAGACCAAGAAAGGAAAGGAAAGAUAAAUGAGGAGCUCGGGUGAUGGAGGUAACGCUCGAGACGGACUCCUGGCGGUGGGAUCAAUUCAAGGAGGAGAUGAAGAGACCAUAUGGAUGACAUAGAAGAAGAGGAGAAAGCUCAAGGCUGCGGAGAAAGGAACAACAGUAGAGUAUCAGACUUCAAUCUAGCUGAGAUCAAUUUUUGUUUGUCACGGGACAUAUGAAUACUCUACUGAUUUUGCUUUUGUUUAAGUUUCACGAAUUUUCAAUUUUUCAUCCUUUAGCAAUAAAUGAUGGUUCUAACUUAAUUGAAGGUUAGUAAUGAUGUGCAUAAAGAGUCAGUCUGUACCUAGCUGACAAUGCUAUCUGUAUAUUUAUGUUAUAAUCGAAAUUUGCACAUACAUACGAGCAA